rnacentral:tRNA from 1 species
GCGGGUAUAGCUCAGUGGUAGAACACAUGCUUAGCAUGCACAAGGUCCUGGGUUCAAUCCCCAGUACUUCCA